UCGGGAAUUUUGGGCAAUGGGCGAAAGCCUGACCGAGCGAUGCCGCGUGCGGGAUGAAGGCCUUCGGGUUGUAAACCGCUGUCGUAGGGGAGAAAGGGUCGUUGAAGAAACGACUUUGAUCUAUCCUAGGAGGAAGUCCGGGCUAAGUUCGUGCCAGCAGCCGCGGUAACACGAACCGGACAAACGUUAUUCGGAAUUACUGGGCUUAAAGGGUGCGUAGGCGGUGCGGUAAGUGCGGUGUGAAAUCCCACGGCUCAACCGUGGAAUUGCGCUGCAUACUGCCGUGCUAGAGGGAGACAGGGGUAAGCGGAACUGAUGGUGGAGCGGUGAAAUGCGUUGAUAUCAUCAGGAACACCGGUGGCGAAAGCGGCUUACUGGGUCUCUUCUGACGCUGAGGCACGAAAGCUAGGGUAGCGAACGGGAUUAGAUACCCCAGUAGUCCCUGAGCGGGCUGGCAAGGCGCAU
rnacentral:rRNA from 1 species